CUGGUAACCUCUAGGUUGGAUUACUGCAAUUCGUAAUACGCAGGACUGCAUUUGAAGACGGUUCAGAAACUUCAGCUGGUGCAAAAUUCAUUGGCCAGAUUGCUCACCAGCAUGAGACAGUCUGAGCAUAUAAUGUCGAUCCUGGCCCAGCUGGCUGGCGUUUGGUUUCCGGGCUCAACUCAAAGUGCUGGUGCUGACCCAUAAAGCCUUCCAUGGUUCAGGACCUCAAUGCCUUUAGGACCACUUCUCCCCAUAGGAACCAACACAGACCUUCACUUAUCAUCCAAGGCCCUUCUCUUUCCCCUCUCAUACCUGAGAGGUUCGGAGAACGGGCCUUUUCUGUGGUGGCUCCCCAUCUGUGGAAUGCUCUCCCCAGAGAGGCCCACCUGGUGCCAUCAUUCCAUUCCUUUUUAUGCAGGCCUUUGGCCAUUCAGUAAUCUAUGGCCUGGUACAGCUGUGUGGGGACGACUGUUAUUAUGCUGAUUUUAUUAUGAUGCUGUCCAUUAUGAUGCUUUUUUUUAUUCUUAUUUUUAUGCUCCACAAAAUGUGUUCUUAAUGUAGUACACUGCCCUGGGAUCUUUUGAUAAAGGGCAGUAUAUAAACUGAAUUAUCAACAAGUGUUGGCUUUUUGCAGUAUAGUAACGCUGCAGAGAGCUUGCUGGGGAGACCACGCAUUAAAAAGGACUCAAAAAUAACUUAAACAAGGUUUUAAUAACAAAAACAAAAACUCCUUAAACACUAAAUACAUCAACAACAAACCAGACCCAACCACCAACCCAUCCCCCAGGGUAAUGGGAGAGCUAGGUGCUGCUCCUUAUAUACUACACCCAAUUACCAACACAGCUUAAUCAAUACAACUCAACAGCCCCUUCUAUGUUUCACAGCUGUAAAGCUGGGUCUCCUUAUCUUGCUCUGGCCCUUGCUCUGGCCCCUUAAAUACAUACACAUCGGGUGGAACAAUGAUGAACCUUUACAUUUAAAGAAACAAUUCAACAACAAGAACAACUUAAUAAUAUUAAUUUCUACCCAGGCAAAAACAUUCAAAAUCUGAACCCAUGGUGUGACAAGUAGGGAUGGGUGGUCUGCCAAUUUUGAUUUCUUGUUUUUCUGGUCUUAAAUUUCCACCAGUUUGUGUAUUUUAUUUUAUUUUGAAGAACAUGAUCUUGAAAAUUCAUCACCAUUAUAGUGCAAAUUUCUCCAAUUAUACACCUAUAUAUAUUCACCUCCUAUAUAUUCUCAUUAUUAUCAAGUGCUGGGAGGGGGGUGGUGAAGGGUGCUGUGAGCCUUUUGCCUUCCCUCCCAGCCAGAAAGACGAGGCAACUUCUAGCUAAGAGUUAAGCUGUGUGCCCAUCCAACCAUUUUAUGCUGUGUGUGUGUUUGUGUGUCAGUAACCACUAGUGCGUGAUCACAAGGAGGCUAUAUAAAUAUAUGUCAGAAACAUUUACAAAUCCCGAAAGUCUGACUUAUGCCAACAAGAUAAAGGAUUUAUAUGAAAAAUUCAUCCAUCAUUCAUUAUUAUCCUGCUUUAAAUAAAAUUGCCCAGGCUUCCAAUCAGAGGGUAGGGACGAGACCACGGGACAUCUGUGACAAAUUGCAAGCUGUGACUAUAAUGAAUAGAUUAGUGGACCUUGUUGAAUAAGCCAUUGGAUGGGAUUCAUUUGCAUAAGGCAGCCAGAGAAUAAAUACAUAUUUUUAUUAGCAUUAGUGCUACCGGAGUAUCAUCUCUGGUAAACCAGCACCUGAGGGGCCUUCCUACAGUAGGAGCAAAGUGGCUUUUGAUGGGAUUGUUUCGGAGACCCAUCAUCUAGUGGCAAAGAGAAAGGGCCUGUAGCAGGGUGGGAAAGAGAGGGGGGAGGAGGAGAAGAGAAGAGAUCUACACAGAGUCCACUGAACGCUACAGGCGGAAAGAUAAGACAAUUAAAGAGGAGCGUGACUUACUGUGAAUAAAAAGGUCGCAGGCAAUGCAAGGGCUUCUUAUGGGUGCCAAGGGGGGAAAGGAAGGCCACGGAGAGAGCAGGGUAUUAACAAACGAGCCUGGUCUGGAGUGGAUGAAUAGCUUUUAAACGGCUGUUACCCAAUUGCUUUUUUGUUUUGUUUUUAAUAAAUUGCUCUUUAGGAAGAUAACUAAAGAGAAGAGGCAGCGGACAAUUAGGAAGUAAUGAAGACCUUGUAAAUACACUUACCGAUAAAAACGCACGUAGGAGAAUGCUUGAGAAAGCAAACAUAUACAUAUCGGCAGUUGGUCUAGGCAAGAGGCUGCGGGAAUUAUUAAAGGAGUUGACUGGGAGAGCCGAGGUUCUUUUAUCCUCACUCUCUCUUGCAUUAAGCUGUAAGUAUUGCUGGCGAGAGCUUAGCAUGAUUUUGUGAACCUCAGUCAAGAUUUAGGUUCACAAAAGACAGACACCGGUGGCUUGAGAGGACGAGACCAAUAGUGGGUCCAGUGAUCAAGUAGGGUUGUUUUGAAUUCCUUUUGGGAAUUAAUAGGGACUUGUUGUUGUUUAGUUGUUUAGUCAUGUCCGAUUAUUCAUGACCCGAUGGACCAGAGCACGCCAGGCACUCCUGUCUUCCACUGCCUCCCGCAGUUUGGUCAAACUCAUGCUGGUAACUUCAAGAACACUGUCCAACCAUCUCGUCCUCUGUCGUCCCCUUCUCCUUGUGCCCUCCAUCUUUACCAGCAUCAGGGUCUUUUCCAGGGAGUCUUCUCUUCUCAUGAGGUGGCCAAGUAUUGGAGCCUCAGCUUCAGGAUCUGUUCUUCCAGUGAGCACUCAGGGCUGAUUUCCUUAAGAAUGGAUAGGUUUGAUCUUCUUGCAGUCCAUGGGACUCUCAAGAGUCUCCUCCAGCACCAUAAUUCAAAAGCAUCAAUUCUUCGGCGAUCAGCCUUCUUUAUGGUCCAGCUCUCACUUAACAGGGACAGAACUACCCAAACGGUACAGAAACUUAUUCAUGUAUGGUACUACAGUGGCAAGAAUAUUACUUGCCCCAAAACGGGAAGAAGUAGAAGUCCCAGCAAAGGAAGAAUGGAUACAAAAACUUAUGGAAUAUGCAGAAAUGGUGAAACUUACCAG